UACGUAGGGUGCAAGCGUUAAUCGGAAUAUCUGGGCGUAAAGCGUGCGCAGGCGGUUUUGUAAGUCUGUCGUGAAAUCCCCGGGCUCAACCUGGGAAUGGCGAUGGAGACUGCAAGGCUAGAGUUUGGCAGAGGGGGGUAGAAUUCCACGUGUAGCAGUGAAAUGCGUAGAUAUGUGGAGGAACACCGAUGGCGAAGGCAGCCCCCUGGGUCAAAACUGACGCUCAUGCACGAAAGCGUGGGGAGCAAACAGG
rnacentral:rRNA from 1 species